rnacentral:rRNA from 1 species
GACGAACGCUGGCGGCGUGCCUAAUACAUGCCAGUAGAACGCUGAAGGAGGAGCUUGCUUCUCUGGAUGAGUUGCGAACGGGUGAGUAACGCGUAGGUAACCUGCCUGGUAGCGGGGGAUAACUAUUGGAAACGAUAGCUAAUACCGCAUAAGAGUAGAUGUCGCAUGACAUUUGCUUAAAAGGUGCAAUUGCAUCAAUACCAGAUGGACCUGCGUUGUAUUAGCUAGUUGGUGAGGUAACGGCUCACCAAGGCAACGAUACAUAGCCGACCUGAGAGGGUGAUCGGCCACACUGGGACUGAGACACGGCCCAGACUCCUACGGGAGGCAGCAGUAGGGAAUCUUCGGCAAUGGACGGAAGUCUGACCGAGCAACGCCGCGUGAGUGAAGAAGGUUUUCGGAUCGUAAAGCUCUGUUGUAAGAGAAGAACGAGUGUGAGAGUGGAAAGUUCACACUGUGACGGUAUCUUACCAGAAAGGGACGGCUAACUACGUG